CGGUCAUGUAAAAGCUGACUGUCCAAAGCUUAAACAACAAGGGCAGAAGGAUGAAAAGAAGAAUGAAAAUCAGAAGGCUCGGGGAAGAAUGUUUCAGAUUACUACCGAGGAAGCCAAGGCCUCACCGAAUGUCGUGUCAGGAUCGAAAGAAGAAGGAGCUAGUUCCGGAUCACAAACAAAGUCACAAGAUCGAGGUAAAGCACAAGUUUAAUCGCCGUUGCGUCACUCGGAUAUGAACACACCUUGAUCACCCGUGAUACGCUUCCGCCUCUUUUGUAGUAAUUUCAAG